UGACACGUAGCCUAAUUGGUAGGGCAACCGGUUGUUACCCGGUUAGGUGUUGGUUCGAGUCCAACUGUGUCAGCCA
rnacentral:tRNA from 1 species